rnacentral:lncRNA from 1 species
AAGAGGAUAAAAGGAACAGAGUGACCCCAGUAUUAUACUUGAAUUAUGGACCCUACAGCUCUUAUGCCCCACAUUAUGACUCUACAUUUGCCAAUAUCAGCAAAGAUGAUUCUGACUUAAUCUACUCAACAUAUGGGGAAGACUCUGACCUUCCAAACAAUUUUAGCAUCUCUGAGUUUUUGGCCACAUGCCAAGAUUACCCGUAUGUUAUGGCAGAUAGUUUACUGGAUGUUCUAACAAAAGGAGGACAUUCCAGGAGCCUGCAGGACUUGGACAUGCCGUCACCUGAAGAUGAAGGCCAGACCAGAGCACUGGAUGUUGCCAAAGAAGCAGAGGUAUUUACAGUUUAUCCUUUAAAUGGACAAUAAGUUUAAGAGACCUGCAUGGCUGGGCAGUGCUACUUGGUGUUGGUGAGAUGAAAUGGCUCAGCAGGUGGAGCUUGUCACACAAGCCUGGGGACAGCUCAGUCCUGGAGCCUAUAGGUCUCAGCUAGGGUCUCCAUGUCUGUGAGCAGACACCCUGGUUUGCUGGUUUGUUUACAGGAGGGUUGGUUGGCGUGGUUUGCUUUAGUUUUUUCCAGACAGGGUUUCCUGUUCCUGGCUGUCCUGGAACUCACUCUGUAGACCAGGCUGGCCUAAAAAUCAGAGAGAUCCAUCUGCCUCUGCCUUCCUGACUGUUGUUUUGUUUGUUUAAGAAAAAGGCUGUGGCACUUGUCUUAAGCAAAAAGUAACUUAGCCUAUCAACAUAAGGAAGAGAGUCUGAAUUGGGGAAAUCAGCCAGAAGAAAAGGUUCCUCAGCACUACAAAAGA